AGGACGAACGCUGGCGGCGUGCUUAACACAUGCAAGUCGAGCGGUGAUCCUCCUUCGGGAGGUGAUCAGCGGCGAACGGGUGAGUAACACGUGGGCAACCUGCCCCUCACACUGGGAUAACCUCGGGAAACCGGGGCUAAUACCGGAUACGACCUCGAGCGGCAUCUCUUGAGGUGGAAAGCUCCGACGGUAAGGGAUGGGCCCGCGGCCUAUCAGCUUGUUGGUGGGGUAAUGGCCUACCAAGGCGACGACGGGUA
rnacentral:rRNA from 1 species